rnacentral:rRNA from 1 species
AUUGAACGCUGGCGGCAGGCCUAACACAUGCAAGUCGAGCGGAUGAAGGGAGCUUGCUCCUGGAUUCAGCGGCGGGCGGGUGAGUAAUGCCUAGGAAUCUGCCUGGUAGUGGGGGAUAACGUCCGGAAACGGGCGCUAAUACCGCAUACGUCCUGAGGGUGAAAGUGGGGGAUCUUCGGACCUCACGCUAUCAGAUGAGCCUAGGUCGGAUUAGCUAGUUGGUGGGGUAAAGGCCUACCAAGGCGACGAUCCGUAACUGGUCUGAGAGGAUGAUCAGUCACACUGGAACUGAGACGCGGUCCAGACUCCUACGGGAGGCAGCAGUGGGGAAUAUUGGACAAAGGGCGAAAGCCUGAUCCAGCCAUGCCGCGUGUGUGAAGAAGGUCUUCGGAUUGUAAAGCACUUUAAGUUGGGAGGAAGGGCAGUAAGUUAAUACCUUGCUGUUUUGACGUUACCAACAGAAUAAGCACCGGCUAACUUCGUG